CAGGCUGCAACUCGCCUGCAUGAAGUCGGAAUUGCUAGUAAUCGCAGAUCAGCAUGCUGCGGUGAAUACGUUCCCGGGCCUUGUACACACCGCCCGUCACACCAUGGGAGUCGGUAACACCCGAAGUCGGUAGCCUAACCGUAAGGAGGGCGCUGCCGAAGGUGGGAUUGGUAAUUGGGGUGAAGUCGUAACAAGGUAAC
rnacentral:rRNA from 1 species